UGUCAUGUAUCAAAUACAAAGCAGUUUAGUUGUCAUGUAUCAAAUACGCUCUGUAUUUGAUAUUUGACAACUAAACUGCUUUGUAUUUGAUACAUGACA
rnacentral:pre_miRNA from 1 species